rnacentral:rRNA from 1 species
UACGUAGGGUGCAAGCGUUGUCCGGAAUUAUUGGGCGUAAAGAGCUCGUAGGCGGUCUGUCGCGUCUGCUGUGAAAACUCGGGGCUUAACCCCGGGCCUGCAGUGGGUACUGGCAGACUAGAGUGCGGUAGGGGAGACUGGAAUUCCCGGUGUAGCGGUGAAAUGCGCAGAUAUCGGGAGGAACACCGGUAGCGAAGGCGGUUCUCUGGGCCGAUACUGACGCUGAGGAGCGAAAGCGUGGGGAGCGAACAGG